rnacentral:rRNA from 1 species
UACGGGGGGGGCAAGCGUUGUUCGGAAUUACUGGGCGUAAAGGGCUCGUAGGCGGCCAACUAAGUCAGACGUGAAAUCCCUCGGCUUAACCGGGGAACUGCAUCUGAUACUGGAUGGCUCGAGUUUGGGAGAGGGAUGCGGAAUUCCAGGUGUAGCGGUGAAAUGCGUAGAUAUCUGGAGGAACACCGGUGGCGAAGGCGGCAUCCUGGACCAACACUGACGCUCAUGCACGAAAGCGUGGGGAGCAAACAGG